CAAAUGUGUUACUUAGAAACGGCGAGUGAAGCGGUAAAAAGCUCAAAUUUGAAAUCUGGUACUUUCAGUGCCCGAGUUGUAAUUUGUAGAAUUUGUCUUUGAUUAGGUCCUUGUCUAUGUUCCUUGGAACAGGACGUCAUAGAGGGUGAGAAUCCCGUUUGGCGAGGAUACCUUUUCUCUGUAAGACUUUUUCGAAGAGUCGAGUUGUUUGGGAAUGCAGCUCAAAGUGGGUGGUAAAUUCCAUCUAAAGCUAAAUAUUGGCGAGAGACCGAUAGCGAACAAGUACAGUGAUGGAAAGAUGAAAAGAACUUUGAAAAGAGAGUGAAAAAGUACGUGAAAUUGUUGAAAGGGAAGGGCAUUUGAUCAGACAUGGUGUUUUUUGCAUGCACUCGCCUCUCGUGGGCUUGGGCCUCUCAAAAAUUUCACUGGGCCAACAUCAAUUCUGGCAGUAGGAUAAAUCAUUAAGAAUGUAGCUACCUCGGUAGUGUUAUAGCUUAUUGGAAUACUGCUAGCUGGGAUUGAGGACUGCGCUUCGGCAAGGAUGUUGGCAUAAUGGUUAAAUGCCGCCCGUCUGAAAAACGGGGACCAAAAAAGAAAGC
rnacentral:rRNA from 1 species